AAAAGACAUUCAGAACACAACCAGCAUUCUGCUAAGAGCAAUCCAAACGCAAUCCACUAACAAAAUGUUCAAGCUUUUCGUUGUCCUUUUCGCUGCCCUCUUCGCCUUCGCCGCCGCCGGUCCAUCACCAGUCGCACGUCCAGCACCACUGCCCGUGGCCAGCCCUCAUCCAGCGCCAGCACCAGCACCAGUACCACAAUUCUACUACGGUGGCUAUGCCUCACCCUACUCCUACGCCUACUCUGGCUAUCCAUACUACGGUUAAACAGCAGCGUAGUGCAUAGUUCUCCGGUCAUUGUGUGUGGAGUGCAUGCGUACAAUUACAACUAUGUACCUAUGUAAGCGAGCGUAAGUGAGCUGUGGGAUUAGCGAAAUUCAUACGGAAAUUAUAGAAAGGAUUAUACGAGUACUGAGGCGACUCGACUCGGUUGCAUUUUCCCACUGGUCACAAUAUAUGCUAUUAUUAAUUCACUUAGAGUAAAGCUACACACGUUGGCGGAUGGACUAGAGGACUAAUUGCUCGAUUGUUAAUGGACCAGGGAUAAUGGAUUUCGGUUAAUGCACUUUGGCAAAUAUUAAUUAGUUUUAGUCUUGAUUUAAGUAUGCUGUUGUUUGUUUGUCAUUUGAAUAUUCAUUUGACAGCAAAUAUGUAUGUCCUUAUAUGAAAUUGUUAAAAUAAAAAAGAAAUAAAAAUAAAUAAAAAAUUUUGCAUAUAUAUAUAAA